rnacentral:lncRNA from 1 species
GGUCACAGGGUGAGCCUUUCCUCUUCUCCUCUGCUUCCUUUCUCACCACAAAGGGCGUUCAUUUCACAUCCCUGAAGCUGAGAGGCCUGAGGGGCGGGAACCAGCCAGCGAGGCCCCCAGAACCGGCGCGGGGAGCCGGCCCACCCCUGCGCUGGGAGGCCAGGCGCAGAGCCGGCGAGAGAGCCCAGACUCAAGCCGAGACCCCGAGGGAGGGGGAGAAACGCCCCUGGUCUCCCUACCCACCCCGAAGACGCCGGGCGGGGCCGGGGGCAGCGCAGAGGCGGGGCCAGCGCGGCGACCCGAGGAGAGGCAGCUACCGCAGACAGGGCCAAGGGCUCGUAGGAGGGAAGCGGAGUCGGGCACAGAGCCCUUACAGACCUUGAAGCUGCGCUCAGAGGCAGACGGACCCCAGAAACAGAGUUCCACAAAGCGGAAGUUUUGUGGGCGCAUUCCUCCUGCCGGCGGGAGGGGGCGGUGAAGGAACGUUACAAGGCCCGGCAAUCCCCAAGCCUGCUUCACCGGCUCACCUGAUGCGCCCCUGACAUGCUUCACACACGGCCUGGAGUCAACGUCUGUCCCUGGGAUGACAGAUCCAAGGCCACAUCCGCGCCCCGCCACUGCUCUUGUCCAGGCUGGAAUCUCAGAACCGCACUGCCUCUCAGGCUGAUCAGAGGAGCUGUAGGUGCAAGUGUUCCAGUCCUUAGACAGGUCAUGUUCUGCCCGGGAGCUCAGCCCCAGAACCGUGGAGGAAGCUCAGCCCCAGAACCGUGGGGGAAGC